GGCACCCGAGGCAGAAAAGUGUCUGUAACAAUAAUAUUAAAGGUAAAGGUACCCCUGCCCGUACGGGCCAGUCUUGACAGACUCUAGGGUUGUGCGCUCAUCUCACUCUAUAGGCCGGGAGCCAGCGCUGUCCGCAGACACUUCCGGGUCACGUGGCCAGCGUGACAAGCUGCAUCUGGAGAGCCAGCACAGCACACGGAACGCCGUUUACCUUCCCGCUGGUAAGCGGUCCCUAUUUAUCUACUUGCACCCGGGGGUGCUUUUGAACUGCUAGGUUGGCAGGCGCUGGGACUGAACGACGGGAGCGCACUCCGCCACGGGGAUUCGAACCGCCGACCAUGCAAUCAGCAAGUCCUAGGCGCUGAGGUUUUACCCACAGCGCCACCCGCAUCCCUUAACAAUAAUAUUACAGAUAGCAAUUUGCUAUCCUUUUUGACACCCAGAAACAGCUACCUGAGGCAACUGUCUCAUUCUGCCUAAUGGUAGGAGCAUCCCUUUUAAUCUUUAAAAAAAAGUCACUUUACAACCUUUACGAUCUGCUUCUUUUCCAUUCCCGGUAAUUAGGCCAGCAUCACUGCAGCCGCUCCAGGCAAUGAC